rnacentral:rRNA from 1 species
ACUUCGGUCACGCUAAAGUGGUGGCAAACGGCUUAGUAACACGUAAGUAAUCUGCCCUUAAGUGGGGGAUAAUCCGAAGAAAUUCGGCCUAAUACCGCAUAAUUUUUUAAUAUAUAAAUGUUAAAAAGAAAGAUUUAUCGCUUUUGGAGGAGCUUGCGGCCUAUCAGGUAGUUGGUAAGGGUAAUGGCCUACCAAGCCUAAGACGGGUAACCGAAGUGAGAGCUUGAUCGGUAAGAGGGGAACUGAGACACGGUCCCCACUUCUACGGAAGGCAGCAGCAGGGAAUUUUGCGCAAUGGACUGUAUGGUCUGACGCAGCGACACCGCGUGGAGGAUGAAUGCUUUAGGGUUGUAAACUCCUUUUCUUAGGAAAGAUGAUGACGGUACCUAAGGAAUAAGCAUCGGCUAACUACGUGCCAGCAGCCGCGGUAAUACGUAGGAUGCAAGCGUUGUCCGGAAUUAUUGGGCGUAAAGGGCGUCUAGGUGGAUUAACAAGUCCUGUGUGAAAUCUCUUGGCUUAACCAAGAAAGGUCACAGGAAACUAUUAAUCUAGAGGUCAUGAGAGGUAAGUGGAAUUCACAGAGUAGUGGUGAAAUGCGUAGAUACUGUGAGGAACACCAGAGGCGAAAGCGACUUACUAGCAUGAAUCUGACACUAAAGCGCGAAAGUGUGGGUAGCAAACCGGAUUAGAUACCCGGGUAGUCCACACCAUAAACGAUGGAUACUAGUUAUGGGAGGCUUAGACCCCUCUGUAACGAAGCUAACGCAUUAAGUAUCCCGCCUGGGGAGUACGGCCGCAAGGUUAAAACUCAAAGAAAUUGACGGGGGCCCGCACAAGCAGCGGAGCGUGUGGUUUAAUUCGAUGAUAAGCGAAGAACCUUACCAAGGCUUGAAAUAUAUCUGACAGCUAGUGAAAGCUAGUCUCCUUCGGGCAGAUAUACAGAUGUUGCAUGGCUGUCGUCAGCUCGUGCCGUGAGGUGUUGGGUUAAGUC